GACGAACGCUGGCGGCGUGCUUAACACAUGCAAGUCGAACGGAAAGGCCCGCUUUCCCUUGUGGAUUGCGGGUACUCGAGUGGCGAACGGGUGAGUAACACGUGAGUGAUCUGCCCCCAACUUGGGUAUAAGCCUGGGAAACUGGGUCUAAUUCCCGAUAGGACUGCAGGGUGGUGCCUGUGGUGGAAGACGAUUUUUUAGUGGUUGGGGAUGAACUCGCGGCCUAUCAGCUUGUUGGUGGGGUAAGGGCCUACCAAGGCGGCGACGGGUAGCGGGCCGGGGAGUGGGACCGGCGAUACGGGGACUGAGCCUAGGGGAGGCAGCAGACGGGAGGAAGGAGCAGGGAAUGGAGGCCUAAGGGAGCGAGGCCGAGUGAGGGAUGACGGGCGUCGGAUGGUGGACUCCUGGCGGCAGAGAGGAAGCCACCGGGAUGGAGGGGUGGUGACGGUAGUGGUAGAAGAAGUACCGGCUAACUACGUG
rnacentral:rRNA from 1 species